rnacentral:rRNA from 1 species
CGGAGGGAGCUAGCGUUGUUCGGAAUUACUGGGCGUAAAGCGCGCGUAGGCGGCUUUGUAAGUUAGAGGUGAAAGCCCGGAGCUCAACUCCGGAACUGCCUUUAAAACUGCAUCGCUUGAAUCCGGGAGAGGUGAGUGGAAUUCCGAGUGUAGAGGUGAAAUUCAUAGAUAUUCGGAAGAACACCAGUGGCGAAGGCGGCUCACUGGACCGGUAUUGACGCUGAUGUGCGAAAGCGUGGGGAGCAAACAGGAUUAGAUACCCUGGUAGUCCACGCCGUAAACGAUGAUAACUAGCUGUCAGGGGCCAUGGGCUUUUGGUGGCGCAGCUAACGCAUUAAGUUAUCCGCCUGGGGAGUACGGCCGCAAGGUUA